CAGGAACAGCCCCUGGGACCCCUGGAAGUAAGCAAGUAGAGUCCUCCAUCAGCCAGAACCAAUAAAACGAGGUAACCAGAACGAGGCAGACGACAAUGUUGAUGCCGCCCGUCUACGGAGCAAGUACCCUCACCCCACCUCUCUACUCUCUGGCUCCAGGGCAGGCUACGGGAGCCGUGUGGCGGGUGGACAGAGCCAGCGGCUCCGGACAUCUAAUCCUGGCCGUGCCACUUCUUAGUAUCUGUGUGACCUUGGGACCGGGAGAGAGGCUGGUGCCAGAAGGAGAGUGCUUGCUGCCCGAGGAUCCAGGAGAGGUGUGGAGGGGCACAUGCUGGGAGCGACUCGGGGUUGCUGGGCCAGACCUCUCCCAGCACGGCCAGGGCCCUGUGUCCCACCCCCACCGGGGACCCCCCUCUUCUUAGCACCCUGUGCUCGCAGCAGCAGCUCCAGUAACUUCCACCCAAGAUUCUGCACACCACAGAAGGGACCUCAGUUCGGAACCCACCCAUUGACCUGAUUCUUCAGUGCAAUGUAGCCCAUCGCAUUCAAUACAGAAUGUGGACCCAAGUGAGGUUUGGGAAGGAACAGAAUGCUGGUCAGGAGCUUGGGUCCGAGCGUAGACACUUCUGGAGAGAAUCAGCAGCAAGGCCAAGUGACGCCCUCCCCCGACCGGCCCCUCCCUUGCUCAUCGCAGCGGACAUCAAGGCCAGACAGCUGCAGACAUUAAGGCCAGCACCUGCCCCUCCUCUGAUUUUAAAUUUUCCAAUAGUCCCAUAAAAUAAAAAAAAAAAAGUAAGUAAAAUUAAUUUUAAUCAUAUGCUGUAUUUAGCUCACCAUGUCUAAAAUAUUA